CGGUCCUACGGGAGGCAGCAGUGGGGAAUAUUGGGCAAUGGGCGCAAGCCUGACCCAGCAAUGCCGCGUGAAGGAAGAAGGCCCUCGGGUUGUAAACUUCUUUUAUCAGGGACGAAGGAUGUGACGGUACCUGAUGAAUAAGCUCCGGCUAACUACGUGCCAGCAGCCGCGGUAAUACGUAGGGAGCAAGCGUUGUCCGGAAUUACUGGGUGUAAAGGGAGCGUAGGCGGGAGGAUAAGUUGAAUGUGAAAUCUAUGGGCUCAACCCAUAGCUGCGUUCAAAACUGUUCUUCUUGAGUGAAGUAG
rnacentral:rRNA from 1 species